AGAGUUUGAUCCUGGCUCAGGACGAACGCUGGCGGUGUGCUUCACACAUGCAAGUCGAGCGAAUGAAGUAGGUAGCUUGCUACUUAUGGAUUUAGCGGCGGACGGGUGAGUAAUAUAUAGGAAUCUGCCUUAGAGCGGGGAACAACAGACCGAAAGGUUUGCUAAUGCCCCAUAGGUAUGCAGUCUUCGGAUUGUAUAUUAAAGGAGUAAUCCACUCUAAGAUGAGCCUGUAUCCGAUUAGCUAGUUGGCGGGGGAAAGGCCCACCAAGGCUACGAUCGGUAGUUGGUCUGAGAGGAUGAUCAGCCACAAUGGGACUGAGACACGGCCCAUACUCCUACGGGAGGCAGCAGUGGGGAAUUUUACACAAUGGGGGAAACCCUGAUGUAGCGACACCGCGUGAACGAAGAAGCCUUUUGGGGUGUAAAGUUCUGUCGGCUGGAACGAAAAAAUGACGGCACCAGCAAAGGAAGCAUCGGCUAACUACGUGCCAGCAGCCGCGGUAAGACGUAGGAUGCAAGCGUUGUCCGGAUUUAUUGGGCGUAAAGAGUUCGUAGGCGGUUAUUUAAGUCUGAUGUUAAAUACUGUGGCCCAACCACAGAACUGCAUUGGAUACUGGAUGACUUGAGUGCGGUAGAGGCAAGUGGAAUUCCCAGUGUAGCGGUGAAAUGCGUAGA
rnacentral:rRNA from 1 species